CUGAGUAGCUAGGACUACAGGUACACACUACCAGCCCAGCUAUUUUUUUUACUUUUUUGUAGAGACAGGGUCUUGCUACGUUACCAAAGCUGUACUUGAGCCUCCUUGUGCAUUCUUCUCUCUGCCUGACCUUCAGAAGUCAACUAAGACAUCAUUUUCUCCAGGAAGGCUUGCCUGACAUCCUUGUCCACCCCACACUCAGCCCAGACUGGAUUAGGUGCCUGUGUGAUGCCAGUGCUAGUAUCCUCAUCAGGGUUCUCAUUACAUGAUAUCAC
rnacentral:lncRNA from 10 species